AACCUGGUUGAUCCUGCCAGAAUCAUAUGCUUGUUCCAAAGCUUAAGCCAUGCAUGUCUAAGAACAGUGAUACUCUCACGAAUCUGCGAACGGCUCCGUAUAUCUGUUGCCACCCGUCUCCAUCCGUCCGGGGGAUGCUUAUACCCCCCGGCAACGGAUAACCUCGGUAAUUCUGUGGCUAAUACGUGUCUGAACGGGGGCCGGCUCCUAGCGGGCCGGUCCUCGGGCUUGCCGCACCCAAAUACGUCGGAAUUUAUUCCUGUGGUGCGUGAUGCGGGCAAGUCCCCCUACCGGCCGAUUACACGGCCGGCGUGGCAGGCGGACUUCAGACCUAUCAACUUGUCGGCCGGGGAUGGCCCGGCCGUGGUGGCGACGGGUACAGAGGAUCAGGGUUCGAUCCUGGAGAGGUAGCCUGAGAGAUCGCUACUACUUCUAAGGAAGGCAGCAGGCGCGCAACGUUCCCAAUGGGGAUACCCUGAGGACGUGACGGGACAUAUCAAUGCCCUGCCCAUAAAGCGGGGCAAUUGGAAUGGGGGCAGUCCAAACCUAUCACCGAGUAACAAUUGGAGGACAAGUCUGGUGCCAGCACCCGCGGUAAUUCCAGCUCCAAUAGCAUCUAGUUAAGUUGUUGCAGUUAAAACGCUCGUAGUUCAAGCCGGUGCGCUUGCCACCCGCCCAGUAGCCGGCCGCAUGGGGACCUCCGGGUCGCCGGCAGCCGGCCAAAGGCGGGGUCGGUGGGCCACCAUAUGUUGCCCGAGUAACAAAGCGGCGUCCGGUCCUUUAGUGGCCCAGGACGAUUCCGCCUCGGGCGGUUCACUUUGAGUAAAUGUACGUGCCCAAAACAGGCCUAUGAUGGCCAUUGAAACCCGCAGCAAAGAAUGAUAAUACGGGCGCCCCUUGUUUGCGAUAUUUUUGGGGGGUGCCAAUUGGUAGACAGGUUGGAUCGGGGUGAGUCACAUGGCGGGGGUAGGGGUGAAAUCCGUUGAUCCUCGCCAGAUGAACUAACGCGAAGGCAGCUCACAAGUACCUUCCCUUUGAUCAAGAACGAAAGUCCGGGGAUCGAAGAUGAUUAGAUACCAUCGUAGUCCGGACCCUAAAUUCUGCCAACCACGGAUGGGCGUGCGUCCAUCCCGACCGGGCCCGGACCUUGUGAGAAAUCAUAAGUGUUUGGGCUCCGGGGGGAGUAUGGUCGCAAGACUGAAACUUAAAGGAAUUGACGGAAGAGCACACAAGGAGUGGAGCCUGCGGCUUAAUUUGACUCAACACGGGGAAACUCACAAGGGCAAGAGGGGGGUAGGAUGGUCAGCUUAUCAGAGCUUACCUGAUUCCCCCAGUGGUGGUGCAUGGUCGUUCUUAGUUCGUGGAUUGAUUUGUCUGGUCUAUUCCGAUAACGAGCGAGAACCUACUCAACGAUGUUGGGCCCUUGGGCUAGCCUGGGUCCCCUCGCGGGACCUGGGCGUCGUGCCCCUGGGCGAUUUUUUCAGACUGGCGAGAUCGGUUCCGAUAAGGUGCCGGAAGAUGGUCAAUAACAGGUCAGUGAUGCCCUUAGAUGCUCUUGGCUGCACGCGCGCUACAAUGGGGGGGGCAACGGGUUAGCCUGCGCCUAAAGGUGGCGGGUAAUCCUUCGAAACCCCCCCGUAUCAGGGACUGCACCGUGUAAAUCGGUGCACAAACGAGGAAUUUCUAGUAGUCACGGGUCACCAGCCCGUGACGAUUGCGUCCCUGCUCUUUGUACACACCGCCCGUCGCUCCUACCGAUUGGAUUGCGAGGUGAGCCGCUAGGACGCGCGGUAAAUGUGAGGGAAAUGGAUGCGAACCUCACGGUUUAGAGGAAGGAGAAGUCGUAACAAGGUAUCCGUAGGUGAACCUGCA
rnacentral:rRNA from 1 species